AUGUGUAAAAGUUUCGUCCACUGAGUCAUCCAGGCUCUCAGAUAGGGCAGUGUGUGUGUGUGUGUGUGUGUGUGUGUGUGUGUGUGUGUGUGUGUGUGUGUGUGAGUCAGCUGCUAUAUAAACAGCAUACACCCUGUCCCGGCUCGGAUCCUAACGGAGCUGCUGCUGCUAGCUGCCUCACUGCUGCUGCUGCUGCUUCUGCUGAAGAGGGAGGAUCACAGAGAGGUGAUGCAGUGCUGCUCGUUAUCUGGAAGCAGAAAGACUUUAUGAGAUUCUUUCUUCAUCUGACCGGCUAAUACUGAUCUUUAAAAAAGACAUUAAAGACAAAAAUCACAUGAUGUCAAAUCCACAAUCAAAACAUUCAUAAACAUGCAGGAAUCUGAAAAACAACUUGUUUCUAACUCACCCCUCACUGAAGGCUAUUAUUUUGAAACAUCCUGGUGUUUGUACAUUUCUGGCAGCAGAAGAAACAAUUACAAGUAUAAACCACAGCUGAGGGUUCCCAUAACAUUUCAAAAUAAGUGUCUGAUCUGAUUCUUUAACCAUAGAUUCCAGCAUUUUACUUUGAAAACUGGGGAUAGGGAGUGAAAGUCAAAUGAAAUUUUGUAUAAUAAUUUGUGGGCUGUAACCUAAAUCAAGAGAAACACACAGAUCGUGUUUAUGAUUAUAUUAAUAUAUAUAUUAAAUUCUACUUGGCUCCUUUUUUUAGUUUCACCAAAAUUGUUACAGAUUGCUAAAAAAAUAUUGCAUCAAUUUCGGGGGUCGUGUAAAUAUGUCUGAAAAUACAAAUUACAAUAACAUAAAUCCAACAUAUCAGCAAAGUUAAAGCAUUCUUAAAAAUGUGCUGCCCAUUUAAAAAGGUGUCGUGGCCCUUUAAACAAAUGAUUCUGAUUGUUGGACUGAAACUUCAGGACUGUUUGUAUCAGCUGUUGCUAAGAAACGCUGACCCUCACACACACUUCCUGUUAAUGUUUAGUGAGAGGGUCAAAGGUCGAGAGAGCUUUCCAGUUCCUCUCUAAUGUAUUAAAUCACAAUAACGUCAUUGUUUAAUCACCUAGCAGACUUUACAGUUCAUUGUGUGUGUGUGUGGGUGUGUGUGUGUGUGUGUGUGUGUGUAUUACACAACAGGCUCCUUAUCCGUUUGCUUUGUGAUGCAUUUUUCUUAUCUGCUCCUCCUGCUGACACACCCUCUGGCACAUCCUGCUCAAUAAAUCAAACACACCUUUGUGAGGCAUUUACAGCCUGCUGGAUUCUGUAGCUCUUGGUGUUAACGCAGUAUUGUUUGCUCGUCCACUCGGAAACCUGUAGUUUGUUCUGAUGAAAUCAAACGUGCGACUUUGUAGUUUCCAUCGUUUUCAUGCACAUUUUCAAUUUGUGCAUAAAAAAACUGAAAUAUUAAUAUUAAGUGUGUAAUAUUGUUGAAUAUCAAAACAUGACAAUGUGGAGCCUGAAGGAAACAUCUGUUCACUAUAAAGCAGCUCGACUGUACUGUUGACUGUGUCCACUGGAGACACUCGGGACACACUAACAGACACUAACAGAUACUAACAGACACUAACAGACACUAACAGACACUAACAAAUACUAACAGACACUAACAGAUACUAACAGAUACUAACAGACAC